GGACGGGGACAACCUCGAGAAAUCGAGGCUAAUACCCGAUAAUGCAGCGGCACCGCAUGGUGACAGUUGUUAAAGGCCCGCAAGGGCGCCUAUUGAUGAGCCUGCGCCCCAUUAGGUAGUUGGUGAGGUAACGGCCCACCAAGCCUUCGAUGGGUAGCUGGUCUGAGAGGAUGAUCAGCCACACUGGAACUGAGACACGGUCCAGACUCCUACGGGAGGCAGCAGUGAGGAAUAUUGCGCAAUGGCCGAAAGGCUGACGCAGCGACGCCGCGUGAAGGAUGAAGUCCGUUAGGAUGUAAACUUCUUUUGCAGGGGAUGAAUGUGGUGCCUUCGGGUGCCAUUGACCGUACCCUGCGAAUAAGGAUCGGCUAACUACGUGCCAGCAGCCGCGGUAAUACGUAGGAUCCGAGCGUUGUCCGGAAUUACUGGGUGUAAAGGGCGUGUAGGUGAAACUUUAAGUCGGUGGUGAAAGCCUGCAGCUUAACUGCAGAACUGCCUUCGAUACUGAAGUUCUUGUGUACGGCAGAGGGAGAUGGAAUUCAUGGUGUAGCGGUGAAAUGUGUAGAUAUCAUGAAGAACACCGGUAGCGAAGGCGGUCUCCUGGUCCGUAACUGACACUGAGGCGCGAAAAGCGUGGGAAGCAACAGGAUUAGAUACCCUGGUAGUCCACGCCUUAAACGAUGGGUACUAGGUGCUGGGCCGCAAGGUUCAGUGCCCAAGCUAA
rnacentral:rRNA from 1 species